rnacentral:tRNA from 1 species
UGGGGUUGUAGCUCUGAGGUAGAGCACCUACCUAGCACAUGGGAGGUGCUGGGUUCGAUCCUCAGCACUGCAA